GCGUGGGUGAUGAAGGCCUUAGGGUUGUAAAGCCCUUUCGCGCGCGACGAUGAUGACGGUAGCGCGAGAAGAAGCCUCGGCUAACUCCGUGCCAGCAGCCGCGGUAAGACGGAGGAGGCUAGCGUUGUUCGGAAUUACUGGGCGUAAAGCGUGCGCAGGCGGCCUGGUUAGUCGGAGGUGAAAUCCCGGGGCUCAACUCCGGAACUGCCUCCGAGACGGCUAGGCUUGAGCGAAGGAGAGGAGAGCGGAAUUCCCAGUGUAGAGGUGAAAUUCGU
rnacentral:rRNA from 1 species